GAUGAACGCUGGCGGCGUGCCUAAUACAUGCAAGUCGAGCGAACGGACGAGAAGCUUGCUUCUCUGAUGUUAGCGGCGGACGGGUGAGUAACACGUGGAUAACCUACCUAUAAGUCUGGGAUAACUUCGGGAAACCGGAGCUAAUACCGGAUAAUAUUUUGAACCGCAUGGUUCAAAAGUAAAAGACGGUCUUGCUGUCACUUAUAGAUGGAUCCGCGCUGCAUUAGCUAGUUGGUAAGGUAACGGCUUACCAAGGCAACGAUGCAUAGCCGACCUGAGAGGGUGAUCGGCCACACUGGAACUGAGACACGGUCCAGACUCCUACGGGAGGCAGCAGUAGGGAAUCUUCCGCAAUGGGCGAAAGCCUGACGGAGCAACGCCGCGUGAGUGAUGAAGGUCUUCGGAUCGUAAAACUCUGUUAUUAGGGAAGAACAUAUGUGUAAGUAACUGUGCACAUCUUGACGGUACCUAAUCAGAAAGCCACGGCUAACUACGUG
rnacentral:rRNA from 1 species